GUGACCCGUUCUUUGAGCCGUGUGCUUUCUCACGCCUAAGGUGUACUGUUUUUCCCCCUUUUUUUGACGAUUGACUGGACGAACAUUGACUGACGGGGAAACAGGCAGAGGGACACGAGCCGAAAGGUUCGGAGGAUCGCAGAUAGGCUCGCGGAGCUGGGUUUGAUGUGCGCUGAAUGUUGCAUGAGGUAUGCGGUAUCGACAGGUGAGCUGUAGGAUAAUUGUUGACGUGCGUUGGUUUUGAGCUUUGAUGCUGGCGUACGUGUUGUAAAUUGUAUUAAUUCAUUUUUUAUUCAGUUUUAGUAGGCCUGACGCUUACUGUAUCAUCGAGCCUUGUCUUCUAGAGAUCUGAUAAAAUAAAAAUAUAUUAUUUAAAAUAGUCCAUUAGUGGAUAUACGUAGACACUGUAGCCAAGAUUUUAUCGCGCACAUAUCAUCUCAAACUUUAUUUUUAUUCCACGUUACAUUGUAGCUCUUUAAAUACGUGUAUCUAUUUAUCCAUUUAGUAUAAUUUCUCUGCGUUUAACUGUUGCAGCACAUCGAUCGCAGCCAGCAUCGAUCCAUCUUAUAUUAAAGGAAAAAUCAAGGAACUAAAAAUCUGUGAAGAUAAAUAAGAUGAAUCGACCUCACCUGUGGAAGCGAGUCGACGGCGGAGGCCCUGGCAGCCAUCUCCUCCUCGCUGGUGCUCGGCAGGACUCUGACGAUGCCCGUCUCGUCGUCGGCGCCACCGAUGCCGUCGCUUCCGUCCUCCUCGUCGUCUUCAUCUUCGUGCUCUUCGGUGUCGCCUACUACCUGCCUGAUCUCCUUAUCAAGCUCUUCGUCGUCCUCCUCGUCCCACUCGGGACUCUCGAUGACGGCGACAAUAGCGCUGCGAUCCGGCGAACGUUCCUCCGAGCUUUCGAGCAGGGCAGUCUUGCUUUUGCUUCUCUUGCCAGUCGAAGGUCGCGAACCGCGACGAGCCGCCUGCGGCUGGCCCGACGGCGGCGAACCCGAGGAAUUUUCGUCCGCAUAGCGGAAGCUCUCUGUACCUAGAACAGAUUAUCGUGAUGAGAAAAUUAUGCGACUUCACGUUAUGAAGAAAGCGCACGACCGCAAAGAAAAAGUAUAAGCAGCAAAAUUAUACCAAGACCAAAGCGUCCUCACUUAUAGGGCCGUCGUCUCUGAACCUCUUGCUGUCUGAGAAGUCCCGGAUUUUGGCCAGCUGAGUUUCUCCAGUUGGACGGUGUCGGCGCGAACUUGGUCUUGUGUCGUUGCUGAACCGGAUAGGACGUUAGCGGCGGCAGCGUCACCUCUUCCUUCUUCUGCUGUUGCUGUUGCUGCUGCUGCUGCUGCUGGUGUUGUUGGCACCUUUCUUGCGUUCUCGAGGCGAUCGGUGGUGCUCUCGUGUCCAUACCCGAGCUCCGCGAUGUUGCAGGCUCGGCGCCCCUACCACCUCGACUCCGACUGACAUUUCUGCGAUACACGGAUCAAGAAAGAUUUUAGAUGAAGCUCGGAACGAUAGGGAGAUAACGAGGAUUCUGUUAUAAGGGUAUUUAUCUUCUUUAAUUGGGCUGUGAUGUAUUGCUACCCGAAAAGAAAACCUUUAGGCGCUAACGCGUUCGAGCCACGCGAAUCGCUGGAGUCGUUAAGUUGAACGCUAUAUUGUUACUGAUGCGCGCACAGAUCUUAUAAAUACACGUCUCGACAUGAUCAACUUUUACUACUUGAAAAAUAAAACAAGUUCUGUACGUUAAUCGUAACAACGUACCAAAGA
rnacentral:lncRNA from 12 species